UACAGAGACUGCGAGCGUUAUUCGGAUUCACUGGGCGUAAAGGGUGCGCAGGCGGCCGUGUGUUUGAGGCGUGAAAGCCCGGGGCUUAACCCCGGAAUUGCACCUCAAACUACAUGGCUAGAGCAUUGGAGAGGGUAGCGGAAUUCACGGUGUAGCAGUGAAAUGCGUAGAUAUCGUGAGGAACACCAGAGGCGAAGGCGGCUACCUGGACAAUUGCUGACGCUCAGGCACGAAAGCGUGGGGAGCAAAAGGG
rnacentral:rRNA from 1 species